UCCAGACUCCUACGGGAGGCAGCAGUGAGGAAUAUUGGUCAAUGGACGGAAGUCUGAACCAGCCAUGCCGCGUGCAGGAAGACGGCUCUAUGAGUUGUAAACUGCUUUUGUACAAGGGUAAACCUGAAUACGUGUAUUCAGCUGAAAGUACUGUACGAAUAAGGAUCGGCUAACUCCGUGCCAGCAGCCGCGGUAAUACGGAGGAUCCAAGCGUUAUCCGGAUUUAUUGGGUUUAAAGGGUGCGUAGGCGGUAUGUCAAGUCAAGGGUGAAAUCCCCGCGCUCAACGUGGGAACUGCCUUUGAAACUGGCAAACUGGAGUGUGUGAGAGGAUAGUGGAAUUCCAGGUGUAGGAGUGAAAUCCGUAGAUAUCUGGAGGAACAUCAGUGGCGAAGGCGACUAUCUGGCACAUAACUGACGCUGAGGAGCGAGAGCGUGGGUAGCAAACAGGAUUAGAUACCCGCGUAC
rnacentral:rRNA from 1 species